CAGCAGCCGCGGUAAUACGGAGGGUGCAAGCGUUGUUCGGAAUUACUGGGCGUAAAGGGCGUGUAGGCGGUGUGGUAAGUCAGAUGUGAAAGCCCUGGGCUUAACCCAGGAAGUGCAUUUGAAACUGCCAUGCUUGAGUAUGGGAGAGGAGAGUGGAAUUCCCAGUGUAGAGGUGAAAUUCGUAGAUAUUGGGAGGAACACCCGUGGCGAAGGCGACUCUCUGGACCAAUACUGACGCUGAGGCGCGAAAGCGUGGGGAGCAAACAGGAUUAGAUACCCUGGUAGUCCACGCUGUAAACGAUGAGCACUAGGUGUAGCGGGUAUUGACCCCUGCUGUGCCGUAGCUAACGCAUUAAGUGCUUCGCCUGGGGAGUACGGCCGCAAGGCUAAAACUCAAAGGAAUUGACGG
rnacentral:rRNA from 1 species